rnacentral:rRNA from 1 species
CCUACGUGUGGCAGCAGUGGGGAAUAUUGCACAAUGGGGGAAACCCUGAUGCAGCGACGCCGCGUGAGUGAAGAAGUAAUUCGUUACGUAAAGCUCUAUCAGCAGGGAAGAAAUACUAACCUUACGGUCAGCAGACGGUACCUGAGUAAGAAGCCCAGGCUAACUACGUGCCACCAGCCGCGGUACGACGUAGGGGGCAAGCGUUAUCCGGAUUUACUGGGUUUAAAGGGAGCGUAGACGGUGCGCCAAGUCUGGAGUGAAAUGCCGCGGCUUAACUGGGGAGCUGCAUUGGAAACUGGCGAACUAGAGUGCAGAAGGGGUAAGCGGAAGUCCUGGUGUAGCGGUGAAAUGCGUAGAUAUUAGGAGGAACACCAGUGGCGAAGGCGGCUUACUGGACCGUAACUGACGUUGAGGCUCGAAAGCGUGGGGAGCAAACAGGAUUAGAUACCCCAGUAGUC